AGGACGAACGCUGGCGGCGUGCUUAACACAUGCAAGUGGAGCGACGAACCAGGCUUCGGCCUGGGGCAGAGCCGCGAACGGGUGAGUAACACAUGGGUACCUACCUCACAGUGAGGGAUACCGGCGAGAAAUCGCCGACAAUACCGCAUAGGCUUCUUGUUACAGAGAAGCAAAGUUGCGCAAGCGACGCUAUGAGAUGGGCCUGUGGCCGAUUAGCUAGUUGGUGGGGUAAUGGCCUACCAAGGCGACGAUCGGUAGCUGGUCUGAGAGGACGAUCAGCCACACUGGGAUUGAGAACGGCCCAGACUCCUACGGGAGGCAGCAGUAGGGAAUUUUCCACAAUGGGCGAAAGCCUGAUGGAGCAACGCCGCGUGCAGGAUGAAGGCUCUAGGGUCGUAAACUGCUUUUAUCUGUGACGAAUAUGACGGUAGCAGAUGAAUAAGGAUCGGCUAACUCCGUGCCAGCACGCCG
rnacentral:rRNA from 1 species